UACGUAGGGGGCUAGCGUUGUCCGGAAUCAUUGGGCGUAAAGAGCGUGUAGGCGGCCCGGUAAGUCCGCUGUGAAAGUCGGGGGCUCAACCCUCGAAUGCCGGUGGAUACUGUCGGGCUAGAGUGCGGAAGAGGCGAGUGGAAUUCCUGGUGUAGCGGUGAAAUGCGCAGAUAUCAGGAGGAACACCAAUUGCGAAGGCAGCUCGCUGGGACGUAACUGACGCUGAGACGCGAAAGCGUGGGGAGCAAACGGG
rnacentral:rRNA from 1 species